rnacentral:rRNA from 1 species
CCUACGGGUGACAGCAGUGGGGAAUAUUGGACAAUGGGCGCAAGCCUGACGCAGCAACGCCGCGUGAAGGAAGAAGGCUUUCGGGUUGUAAACUUCUUUUCUCAGGGACGAAGCUUGUGACGGUACUUGAGGAAUAAGCCGAGGCUACCCACGUGCUAGCAGCCGCGGUAAUACGUCGGGGGCAAGCGUUAUCCGGAUUUACUGCGGGUAAAGCGCGGGUAGGCGGGACAGUAAGUCAGAUGUGAAAACCAUGGGCUCAACCUGUGGCCUGCAUUUGAUACUGGUAGGCUUGAGUACUGGAGAGGGAGACGGAAUUCCAGGUGUAGCGGUGAAAUGCGUAGAUAUCAGGAGGAACACCAGUGGCGAAGGCGGUCUGCUGGACAGCGACUGACGCUGAGGCGCGAAAGCGUGGGGAGCAAACAGGAUUAGAUACCCGUGUAGUC